AUUGAACGCUGGCGGCAUGCCUUACACAUGCAAGUCGAACGGUAACAGGUCUUCGGAAGCUGACGAGUGGCGGACGGGUGAGUAAUACACCGGAACGUGCCCGAUCGUGGGGGAUAACGGAGCGAAAGCUUUGCUAAUACCGCAUACGAUCUACGGAUGAAAGCAGGGGACCGCAAGGCCUUGCGCGGACGGAGCGGCCGAUGGCAGAUUAGGUAGUUGGUGGGAUAAAAGCUUACCAAGCCGACGAUCUGUAGCUGGUCUGAGAGGACGACCAGCCACACUGGGACUGAGACACGGCCCAGACUCCUACGGGAGGCAGCAGUGGGGAAUUUUGGACAAUGGGCGCAAGCCUGAUCCAGCCAUGCCGCGUGCAGGAUGAAGGCCUUCGGGUUGUAAACUGCUUUUGUACGGAACGAAAAGACUCUUUCUAAUAAAGAGGGUCCAUGACGGUACCGUAAGAAUAAGCACCGGCUAACUACGUGCCAGCCGCCGCAGUAACAC
rnacentral:rRNA from 1 species